UCUUGGCAGCCAGAACGUGGUCAAGUCAUCGGUGAGCUAGGUUGUCCAGGUCUCCAGGAGUUGGUAUCGAUGGCGAAGGUGGCGUCGCACGGGGCGUUCCAGGGGGAGAACCCGCUGGACUACGCGCUGCCGCUCAUCAUCCUGCAGAUCUGCCUCGUCCUCGUCGUCACCCGCGGCCUCGCCUACCUCCUCCGCCCGCUCCGGCAACCCCGCGUCAUCGCCGAGAUCAUCGGAGGGAUCCUGCUAGGCCCGUCGGCGCUUGGCCGGAGCACCAAGUUCCUGCACACCGUCUUCCCGCCGGAGAGCAUGACGGUGCUGGACACGCUGGCCAACCUCGGCCUCCUCUUCUUCCUCUUCCUCGUCGGCCUCGAGCUCGACAUCUCCGCCAUCCGCCGCACGGGGAGGAAGGCCCUCGCCAUCUCCCUCUCCGGCAUCGCGCUCCCCUUCGCGCUCGGCGUCGGCACCUCCUUCGCCUUCCGCGCAACCAUCGUCAAGGACGCCCCCCACGCGCCGUUCCUCGUCUUCAUGGGCGUCGCGCUCUCCAUCACCGCGUUCCCGGUGCUCGCCCGCAUCCUCACCGAGCUCAAGCUCCUGACCACGGACCUCGGCCGCAUGGCGCUCUCCGCCGCCGCAGUCGACGACGUCAUGGCGUGGAUCCUCCUCGCGCUCGCCAUCGCGCUCUCGGGAUCCAGCUCGCCGAUCAUCUCGCUCUGGGUGCUCCUCACCGCCGCCGCCUUCGUCGCCGCCGCGUUCCUGCUCGUGAGGCCGGUGCUCGCGUGGAUGGCGCGACAGUGCCGCGAGGGAGAGCCCGUCAAGGAGCUCUACGUCUGCGCCACCCUCGCCAUCGUCCUCGCUGGCGGCUUCCUCACCGACGUCAUCGGCAUCCACGCGCUGUUCGGCGGGUUCGUCGUCGGCGUCGUCGUCCCCAAGGACGGGCCGUUCGCCGGCAUGCUCAUCGAGAAGGUCGAGGACCUCGUCUCCGGGCUCUUCCUCCCGCUGUACUUCGUCUCCAGCGGCCUCAAGACCAACGUGGCAACCAUCAGCGGAGCCAAGUCAUGGGGUUUGCUCGUCCUCGUCAUCGCCAACGCGUGCAUCGGCAAGAUCGGCGGCGCGGUGGCGACGGCCCUGCUCGUCAAGAUCCCCGUCCGGGAGGCCGUCACGCUCGGCUUCCUGAUGAACACCAAGGGGCUCGUCGAGCUCGUCGUGCUCAACAUCGGAAGGGACCGCAAGGUUCUCAACGACGAGGCCUUCGCCAUCAUGGUGCUCAUGGCGCUCUUCACCACCUUCAUCACGACGCCGAUCGUCAUGGCCGUCUACAAGCCGGCGCGGCCGUCGGCGCCGUACAAGCGCCGCACGGUGGCCGGCGGCGACGACGCCGACGAGCUGCGCGUGCUCGCCUGCUUCCACUCCAGCCGCGACGUCCCGACGCUGCUCAACCUCGGGGAGGCGUCGCGGGGCACCGGCCGCCGCCGCCUCGCCGUGUACGCCAUGCACCUCGUGGAGCUAUCGGAGAGGUCGUCGGCGAUCACCAUGGUCCAGCGCGCCCGCCGCAACGGCGUGCCCUUCUUCAACAGCGCCGACAGGGGGGACGGUCAGCUGGUGGUGGCGUUCGAGGCGUUCCAGCGGCUGAGCUCCGUGCGGGUGCGCGCCAUGACCGCCAUCUCCGACCUCGACACCAUCCACCGCGACGUCAUCGACAGCGCAGCCGGCAAGCGCGCCGCCAUCGUCGUCAUGCCCUACCACAAGGCGCUCCAGCCCGACGGCUCCCUCCAGUCGCUCGGCUCGGUGUACCACGCCAUUAACAAGCGCGUGCUCCGCGAGGCGCCCUGCUCCGUCGCUAUCCUCGUCGACCGCGGCCUCGGCGGCCCCGCCCAGGUCUCCGCCCAGAACGUGUCCCUGUCCGUCGCGGCGCUCUUCUUCGGCGGGCCCGACGACUGCGAGGCGCUGGCCUACGCGACGCGCAUGGCGGAGCACCCGGGCGUGGCCGUCACGUUGGCAAGGUUCCGGACGAGCCGUCCGCCGCACUCCGACGAGGAGUUUGCCGACGACGAGGCGGCGGUCGAGGCGUUCAAGUCCAAGGUCGGCGGCGUGAAGGACGGGUCGGUGCGGUUCGAGGAGCGGGAGGGGUGCAGCAAGGAGGAGGUGCUCGAGAGCAUCGGCUCUCUGGCCAAGUCCAACGUGUUCGUGGUGGGGCGGAUGCCGCCGGCGCCGGCGCUGGUGGAGAAUCCCGACGAGCUGGGCCCCGUGGGGAGCUACCUGGCGUCGCCGGAGUUCAGGACGUCGGCGUCGGUGCUGGUGAUCAAGAGGUACGACCCGGCGACGAACCCGAAGAGCAGGAGGUUCGACCCGGAGGCGAGGCCGCCGGUGGCGACGGAGGAGGACGUGCUGGACGAGGCGGAGAUGGGCAGAUCCAGCGUGGUGCCGGUGACGUGGUCGCCAGGGCCUGAUGCGCAUGGCGCCCAAUAAAGAACCGCACUUGCUGGGAGUGCUUGUUGAGCUUUGUUCCUUUCCUUGUGCAAUCUUCAAGAAAUAGAGCAGAUCGAAGCGAAGCACAUGAGUUGGGUGAAACGGAAGCCUAUCAAACACCACAGCAUUGCGGCUUUUCCAGAUGUUCCAGAAGGAGU